rnacentral:rRNA from 1 species
UAAAGCGCGCGCAGGCGGUUUCUUAAGUCUGAUGUGAAAGCCCCCGGCUCAACCGGGGAGGGUCAUUGGAAACUGGGGAACUUGAGUGCAGAAGAGGAGAGUGGAAUUCCACGUGUAGCGGUGAAAUGCGUAGAGAUGUGGAGGAACACCAGUGGCGAAGGCGACUCUCUGGUCUGUAACUGACGCUGAGGCGCGAAAGCGUGGGGAGCGAACAGGAUUAGAUACCCUGGUAGUCCACGCCGUAAACGAUGAGUGCUAAGUGUUAGAGGGUUUCCGCCCUUUAGUGCUGCAGCAAACGCAUUAAGCACUCCGCCUGGGG